AUGCCAGCAGCCGCGGUAAUACGGAGGGUGCAAGCGUUGUCCGGAAUCACUGGGCGUAAAGGGUGCGCAGGCGGGGCAGCAAGUCGGAGGUGAGAGCCCAUGGCCCAACCAUGGAAGUGCCUUCGAAACUGUUGCUCUUGAGUCCCGGAGAGGCUGUCGGAAUUCGUGGUGUAGCGGUGAAAUGCGUAGAUAUCACGAGGAACACCAGAGGCGAAAGCGGACAGCUGGACGGGUACUGACGCUCAGGCACGAAAGCGGGGGGAGCAAACAGGAUUAGAAACCCCUGUAGUCC
rnacentral:rRNA from 1 species